rnacentral:rRNA from 1 species
UACGUAGGGGGCAAGCGUUGUCCGGAAUCAUUGGGCGUAAAGCGCGUGUAGGCGGCCACGCAGGUCCGUUGUGAAAACUAGAGGCUCAACCUCUAGACGUCGACGGAAACCGUGUGGCUAGAGUCCGGAAGAGGAGAGUGGAAUUCCUGGUGUAGCGGUGAAAUGCGCAGAUAUCAGGAAGAACACCAAUGGCGAAGGCAGCGCUCUGGGACGGUACUGACGCUGAGACGCGAAAGCGUGGGGAGCGAACAGG